rnacentral:rRNA from 1 species
GAUGAACGCUGGCGGCGUGCCUAAUACAUGCAAGUCGAGCGAACGGACGAGAAGCUUGCUUCUCUGAUGUUAGCGGCGGACGGGUGAGUAACACGUGGAUAACCUACCUAUAAGACUGGGAUAACUUCGGGAAACCGGAGCUAAUACCGGAUAAUAUUUUGAACCGCAUGGUUCAAAAGUGAAAGACGGUCUUGCUGUCACUUAUAGAUGGAUCCGCGCUGCAUUAGCUAGUUAGUAAGGUAACGGCUUACCAAGGCAACGAUGCAUAGCCGACCUGAGAGGGUGAUAGGCCACACUGUAACUGAGACACGGUCCAGACUCCUACGGGAGGCAGCAGUAGGGAAUCUUCCGCAAUGGGCGAAAGCCUGACGGAGCAACGCCGCGUGAGUGAUGAAGGUCUUCGGAUCGUAAAACUCUGUUAUUAGGGAAGAACAUAUGUGUAAGUAACUGUGCACAUCUUGACGGUACCUAAUCAGAAAGCCACGGCUAACUACGUG